GAUGAACGCUGGCGGCGUGCUUAACACAUGCAAGUCGAACGAUGAUGCCCAGCUUGCUGGGUGGAUUAGUGGCGAACGGGUGAGUAACACGUGAGUAACCUGCCCUUGACUCUGGGAUAAGCCUGGGAAACUGGGUCUAAUACCGGAUACGACCAUCUGGCGCAUGUCAUGGUGGUGGAAAGCUUUUGUGGUUUUGGAUGGACUCGCGGCCUAUCAGCUUGUUGGUGGGGUAAUGGCCUACCAAGGCGACGACGAGUAGCCGGCCUGAGAGGGGGAGCAGCCAGAUUGGGACGGAGAGACGGCGCAAACUCGGACGGGAGGCAGGAGGGGGGAAUCUUGCGCAAGGGGCGAAAGCCUGACGCAGCCAUGCCGGGGGAAUGAUGAAGGGGUUAGGAGGGUAAAAUUCUUUAAAAGGGGACGAUAAUGACGGGACCAGGAGAAGAAGCGCCGGCUAACUUCGGG
rnacentral:rRNA from 1 species